rnacentral:rRNA from 1 species
CUUGCGAAAGUGAGCGAAUCCCAAAAAGUGCGUCGUAGUCCGGAUUGGAGUCUGCAACUCGACUCCAUGAAGUCGGAAUCGCUAGUAAUCGUGGAUCAGAAUGCCACGGUGAAUACGUUCCCGGGCCUUGUACACACCGCCCGUCACACCAUGGGAGUGGGCUGCAAAAGAAGUAGGUAGUUUAACCUUCGGGGGGACGCUUACCACUUUGUGGUUCAUGACUGGGGUGAAGUCGUAACAAGGUAGCGUUAGGGGAACCUGGCGCUGGAUCACCUCCUUAUACGAUGAU